CUACGGGGUGCAGCAGUAAGGAAUAUUGCGCAAUGGAGGCAACUCUGACGCAGCCAUGCCGCGUGCAGGAAGAAGGCCUUAUGGGUCGUAAACUGCUUUUAUUUAGGAAUAAACCCCCGAACGUGUUCGGGGCUGAAGGUACUAAACGAAUAAGCACCGGCUAACUCCGUGCCAGCAGCCGCGGUAAUACGGAGGGUGCAAGCGUUAUCCGGAUUUAUUGGGUUUAAAGGGUGCGCAGGCGGGCUAUUAAGUCAGUGGUGAAAUCCCGGGGCUCAACUCCGGAACUGCCAUUGAUACUGAUAGUCUUGAGUUUGGUUGAAGUGGGCGGAAUGUAGCAUGUAGCGGUGAAAUGCAUAGAUAUGCUACAGAACACCAAUCGCGAAGGCAGCUCACUAAGCCAAAACUGACGCUCAUGCACGAAAGCGUGGGGAUCAAACAGGAUUAGAUACCCUUGUAGUC
rnacentral:rRNA from 1 species